UACGUAGGUGGCAAGCGUUGUCCGGAAUUACUGGGUGUAAAGGGCGAGUAGGCGGGUUGUUAAGUCAGAUGUGAAAUUUCCGGGCUCAACCCGGAACGUGCAUUUGAAACUGAUGAUCUUGAGUGAUGGAGAGGCAGGCGGAAUUCCGUGUGUAGCGGUGAAAUGCGUAGAUAUACGGAGGAACACCAGUGGCGAAGGCGGCCUGCUGGACAUUAACUGACGCUGAGGCGCGAAAGCGUGGGGAGCAAACAGG
rnacentral:rRNA from 1 species